rnacentral:rRNA from 1 species
CAGCCGCGGUAAUACGUAGGUCCCGAGCGUUGUCCGGAUUUAUUGGGCGUAAAGCGAGCGCAGGCGGUUAGAUAAGUCUGAAGUUAAAGGCUGUGGCUUAACCAUAGCACGCUUUGGAAACUGUUUAACUUGAGUGCAGAAGGGGAGAGUGGAAUUCCAUGUGUAGCGGUGAAAUGCGUAGAUAUAUGGAGGAACACCGGUGGCGAAAGCGGCUCUCUGGUCUGUAACUGACGCUGAGGCUCGAAAGCGUGGGGAGCAAACAGGAUUAGAUACCCCAGUAGUCCCUGUCUCUUAUACACAU